rnacentral:lncRNA from 1 species
AAGGUCUUUUUGUAUUCAGUGAAUAGAAGGGACUGAAGGCUGAUUGAGAAUGUGAAACUGUUUACACAUGAAGGGACUCUGUCCAGGGCUGGCAGGAAGCCAGAGGUAGAUAUAUCUAUUGAACUUCAAAAGGGUACGGUCACUGCAAGGUCACUACAGGUUAUAGCAAGAACCAGACUUUUCUUUCCUACUUACAGCCACCCAAGGGUACCUCACUCUCUCACUCUCGGCUGUGUAUGAGAAACUCAACUGUAGUCUCAUUCUUUUCAGGAAAGAAAUACUAAGCAUCAGAAAAGUAAUUCUGAAGGAAGACAAUGGUGGGGUUCCAAGAGGUUUGUAAAGAAUUAUACAAACACACUGCAGACGAUUUUUUAAAAAUAUUCAUGAAAUUUAUUUUUCACUUUCAAAACUAUCAGAUUGAUGAUUUUUGCCCUCAGUAAUUUAUGAGAUGAAUCUAUUUCAUUAUUCUGUAAAUAUUUUAUGUGUCAAACACAUAAAAAUUUCUGAGGUCAUCUAAGCCAGUUAAUGAAAUAUUUCAUUUCAUAAAUGUCAUGAGAGAAAUUCCUAAGUGGUGACGCAGCUUUGGGUCUCUUGACCAUACUCUCUGAUGGGAUCUGGCUUCACUACCAUAAGUGCAGUACCCAGGUAACACAUCUGCAGUAACUGUAGUAAUCCUCCCUCAGAACCAGAACUGGGACCUCAUUCCGAUCUAGCUGAUGACAGGUGGCAGGUGAGUGUUCCUUCUGUCCAUCUUUUGCUGUCUAUGUGGACAUUCUGAUGUGUGUCAGUGAGCUGAAUUCUACACGCUGUAUAUAUUGCAUGCAUUUCACUGCAGUCUAUGGACAUGCCCUUUGUAGAGCUUUUAUGGAAGAACCAAGAAGCCAAGGCAGUUUAGCAAACGAGGCUCAAUAUUUAUAAACCGGGGCCUUUUCUGUCUCUUUGCUAGCCUAGGUGGCUGUAUACAAACUGGGUGGGAGGGGCAGCAAACACCUCACACAUCACAUUUAGAUUUUCUACUUGGUUGUACUCUAGCCAAUCAAAACAAAUUGCUUACUUUAAUAAUAAAGUUUACCAUUUUUUAUUAAAAAAAAUCAAACCAUGACAUGUUUAAUUGAACUGGCUGUAUUGUAAUUAAUAUUUUGAGAUAAUUGUGAUUUUCAGCUUAAAAUUAUAUAUAAAAAUUGUCAUUUUUGUAUGUGUUAAAAAACCAAUGUACCAUGAUUAACAGUACUUUUUAGUUAAACUACAUAUUGGUGUAAAUAAAACUGAAUGAAGAAACACUUAUUACUUUAUUAACUUAGAUUGUGAAUGUACUUCAUGGUUUUUUGCCAUAUGAGACCAUAACAACCUUGAAAGCUGUUUAACUUUAUGUGCAAAGUCCCACUAACCUGUAUUUCAACUUUGCCAAGCCAGUGACUUUGCAAGUGUGAUCUGUACUCUCCAGCUGUGUCUUACGUUCUGACACGAGGGGUUAAGGGUAGGGUGUCGUCUGGAAGCAUCUACAGAUGCGCUUUGUACAGGUAAUAGCGCUGUGUGGUGUAUAGCAGAGCCAUUUUUAGGUUCUGUUGUACUCAAUUUUUUCAGAAUUUAAAAAAAGUGUUUUGAAUAUCAUAAAAGUCUAUUGUAUAAAUAAUAAAAUGUCACCUUAUUACA